UACGGAGGGUCCAAGCGUUAUCCGGAAUCAUUGGGUUUAAAGGGUCCGUAGGCGGGUCUGUAAGUCUGUUGUGAAAUCUCCCGGCUCAACCGGGAAAUGGCCAUUGAUACUGCAGGUCUUGAAUUAUUGGGAAGUAACUAGAAUAUGUAGUGUAGCGGUGAAAUGCGUAGAGAUGACAUGGAAUACCAAUUGCGAAGGCAGGUUACUAUCAAUAUAUUGACGCUGAUGGACGAAAGCGUGGGGAGCGAACAGG
rnacentral:rRNA from 1 species